UACGUAGGGGGCAAGCGUUGUUCGGAAUUACUGGGCGUAAAGCGUGCGUAGGUGGUUUGUUAAGUCUGCUGUGAAAGCCCCGGGCUCAACCUGGGAAUGGCAGUGGAUACUGGCAAGCUAGAGUGCGGUAGAGGGUAGUGGAAUUCCCGGUGUAGCGGUGAAAUGCGUAGAGAUCGGGAGGAACACCAGUGGCGAAGGCGGCUACCUGGACCAGCACUGACACUGAGGCACGAAAGCGUGGGGAGCAAACAGG
rnacentral:rRNA from 1 species